GCCCGCCUAGCUCAAUCGGAUAGAGCGUCAGACUCUUAUUCAAUAGGCGGAAUCUGAAGGCUGGGGGUUCGACCCCCCCGGUGGGCU